GACGAACGCUGGCGGCGUGCUUAACACAUGCAAGUCGAACGGAAAGGCCCUGCUUUUGUGGGGUGCUCGAGUGGCGAACGGGUGAGUAACACGUGAGUAACCUGCCCUUGACUUUUGGAUAACUUCAGGAAACUGGGGCUAAUACCGGAUAGGAGCUCCUGCUGCAUGGUGGGGGUUGGAAAGUUUCGGCGGUUGGGGAUGGACUCGCGGCUUAUCAGCUUGUUGGUGGGGUAGUGGCUUACCAAGGCUUUGACGGGUAGCCGGCCUGAGAGGGUGACCGGCCACAUGGGGACUGAGAUACGGCCCAGACUCCUACGGGAGGCAGCAGUGGGGAAUAUUGCACAAUGGGCGGAAGCCUGAUGCAGCAACGCCGCGUGCGGGAUGACGGCCUUCGGGUUGUAAACCGCUUUCGCCUGUGACGAAGCGUGAGUGACGGUAAUGGGUAAAGAAGCACCGGCUAACUACGUG
rnacentral:rRNA from 1 species